rnacentral:rRNA from 1 species
AGAGUUUGAUCCUGGCUCAGGACGAACGUUGGCGGCGUGUCUAAGGCAUGCAAGUCGAGGGAUCGGCCCACUUUUUACUUCGGUAAUAUCGGGUACGGACCGGCAAACGGGUGAGUAACACACUAGUAAUCUACCUUUGAGUCGAGCAUAGCCCGAAGAAAUUCGGAUUAAUACUCGAUGGUCAUGGGGGGACAUAAGUCAUUCCCAUGUAAAGAUUUAUCGCUCAAAGAGGAGCUUAUGGCUGAUUAGCUUGUUGGUAGGGUAAAAGCCUACCAAGGCCCGGAUCAGUAGCAGGCGUGAGACGUGACCUGCCUCACUGGGACUGAGACACUGCCCAGACUCCUACGGGAGGCUGCAGUCAAGAAUAUUCCGCAAUGGCCGCAAGGCUGACGGAGCGACGCCGCGUGCAGGAAGACGCCCCUCGGGGUGUAAACUGCUUUUAUGAGGGAAGAACUCGUGACGGUACCUCAUGAAUAAGGGGCUGCUAACUUCGUGCCAGCAGCAGCGGUAAUACGAAGGCCCCGAACGUUGUCCGGAUUCAUUGGGCGUAAAGCGUCCGCAGGUGGUUUGACGCAUCUCUGGUUAAAUUUUGUAGCUUAACUACAGAGCUGCCAGAGAGAUGGUCAGACUUGAGGUUGGAAGAGGCAAGCGGAACUAUCGGUGUAGUCGUAAUAAGCGCUGAUAUCGAUAGGAACACCAAAGGCGAAGGCAGCUUGCUAGGACAUACCUGACACUCAUGGACGAAAGCGUGGGUAGCGAAUGGGAUUAGAUACCCCAGUAGUCCACGCCCUAAACGAUGCAUACUAGGUAUUGGGAGUAUCGACCCUCUCAGUGCCGUUGAAAAAAGCUAACGCGUUAAGUAUGCCGCCUGGGGAGUACGAUCGCAAGAUUAAAACUCAAAGGAAUAGACGGGGACCUGCACAAGCGGUGGAUCAUGUGGUUUAAUUCGAUGAUACGCGGCGAACCUUACCAAGGCUUGACAUAUAGCUGCAAUCCCGAAGAAACUCGGGACUCCUUCGAGGGUGCUAUACAGGUGCUGCAUGGUUGCCGUCAGCUCGUGCCGUGAGGUGUACCGUUAAGUCGGGUAACGAGCGCAACCCCUAUGCUGUGUUAAAUGUACACAGCAGACUGCCCCGGUAACGGGGAGGAAGGUGGGGACGACGUCAAAUCAGCAUGGCUCUUACGCCUUGGGCUACACACAUGAUACAAUGGGGAGAACAAUGGGUUGCCAAGUCGCAAGACGGAGCUAAUCCCACAAAUCUCCUCUCAGUUCGGAUUGAAGGCUGCAACUCGCCUUCACGAAGCUGGAAUCGCUAGUAAACGCGCAUCAGCCACGGCGCGUUGAAUACGUUCUCAGGUCUUGUACUCACCGCCCGUCAUGGCACGAAAGCUGGGGGCACCCGAAGGCUCCCCGC